UCCAGGACUGGCUACAAAGCUACAGAGAAACCCCCCUGUCUGGAAAAACCAGCCCCCCCUCAAAAAAAAACCUUCUCCCUAAGAGAGGGUGGGCUUUAUAGGAUGAACAAGAAGUCUCCCUAGUCUUCAUUGCUUUCAGAGAAGAGAAGGUGAGGGGGCGGGGGUCCUAAGGGAGGGAAAUAGGAGACCACACCACAGGGAUGGAGGACAGUCUUUGAAGUCACAGACUGAGUGCAUCAUGAUGAAGAUUUAGCAUUGUGAUUUAUUUAAGUAUUGUGUGUGGGGGGGGUAGCUGGUGGGGUGUUGAGGGACCACUUAGGUUCUAUGAUACGAAAUUCCUUAAAGGCCUUCAAUUUCUGAGAUGUCCACUUCCUGAUCUUUGGGCAGUCCUCUGUAUAGUAGGAGACAUUUCUCAGUGGCCCAUGAGAAAUUAUACCACAGAGAAUACGAUCUGGAGGAAGGGGGCCCUCUGGCCUCUUACGCACCAAGGCCUGGGGAGCUGCUGAGAUUUACAGUUGCUCAGCGAGGUAUCUGUGGAGUGAAUGAGCAAGUGGGCAUCUCGGAUGGUACUCUGAAGAGUGAUUCUGGUGACUUGCUGAAUUCUCCUGGCCAUCAGCAAUGAAAUUAACAACACUCGUAGGCACAAACAGAUAGAAGCUAUGUGGUCCAUUUGUAUUCUGUUAAGUAGGAAAGAAAACCCAGAGUGGUACAGGUUACUGGUGUAGUAGGAAGGUUCUAUGUUGGUUUUUUUUUAAUGCUUGCUUAUUUACUUCUAUUAAAUAACUCAUUUUUAUUGUUUUGGAUUUAAAAUUAACUUAUUUGUCAUUUUAUGUCUAGGAGUGUUUUUCUUGCACGUAUGUCUGCGUACCAUGUGUGUGCCUGGUGACCAUGGAGGCCAGAACAAGGGCAUCAAUCCCCUGGUACUGGAGUUACAAAUGGAUGUGAGCUGUCAUGCGGGUGCUAGGAUUAGAACAGGGAACCUGUGUCCUCUGGAAGAGCAGCCAGUGUUCUUAACCACUGAGCCAUCUCUCCGUGUUUUUUUUUUUUUAUUUUUAAUGUGUAUAUGUGUGCCUGAAUGUCUGUGCACCAUUUACAUGCAGUGUCGAGGGAUGCCAGAAGAGGACAUCUGAUACCAGACCCAGAACUGGAGUUAACAAGUGGUUGUGAGCCCCCAUGUGGGUACUGGAACUGAAUCCAGGUCCUCUGCAAGAGCAGCAGGUUGUUUUUGAGUUUUUAUUUGAAAGACUGCUUUGAGGAAGAAGCCAGCGUGAGUUUGUUUUUUUUUUUUUCUCUCUCUGAUCCCUGCUGACUGACCAAGGACUUCAGGCUGUUUACACGUCUGCAGACAGAUGUUUCCUUCUGGGUCCCACCGCCACUCCCCUGAGGCCACUCACUCUGCACCUGAGCCACUUCCUACCGUAGGCACUCUCCAAAGAAACGUGGGUGACCAGCUGCAGAAGGCGACUCCUGACAGCCCUGCCUUCUGGGAUUUUCCCAGGACCUCCACACAGGCAUCACCCCAACUCCUAGAGACCCACCCUGUCUUCACAGACCUCACUCUCAGUAGCAGGAGUCCGUCACUGUUAAAGACCAACCCUUGCUUGUUGGAUAUUAGUUAUUCAAAUUGCUUCUGCUUGUAUGACAAGCACCCGGUCUCAAAGAGACGAAAAUGAAUCAUGGUGAGACAGAAAGUCCAGCCAACACCCCCAUCUUCCUCCUGCUACAACAGCACACGCCCCCUGAUGAUCCCCUGGGAUUCAUGGGCAAAGACGAGACUGGGGUUCUCUUUGUAAUUUCCAAGUUUCAGCCCGA